CAGAAGCUCUGGACCUGCCUACAGCCCUGUCAAUCACUCAUGGUGUCCAUGACAUGUCCAUGAACACUGCAGGACUGGUAUGUGUCCAGGAGGCAGGGGGACCCCCUAGUGGCCACUUUUUUGACUGACUUUUUCCGUAUGAAAUACAAAAAUUUUUUGAUGAAAGCAAUUGCAGAACAUAUUGUUUUUGCAUGCUUUAUAACAUAUUAAAAGUUAUUGUAUCCGAUAGUGCCCAUUUAAGGAACCAAUGUUGUUGCAAGGUGCUCUAAUACUACUAAGUCAAGCAUGUUUAUUGAUACCAUCCCACAUUGUAUGUCAUGAAAUUGUAUUCCCAUACUUGCCUAUCUGCUAUUAUGUUUGCAGUUAGUAUGUGCUGCAUGUAUAUUAAUAUGCUAGUCACUUGUCACGUCAGUCUCCUGCAUAUACAUAGCUGUGGUGCCUACUCUUUGCGAUGCAGAAUACUAACAACCGCCAUAUGUCCUCCACCUCCUUAUAAGAAAACAAAAAUUGUUUACGUGCAUAGACACCUUGUUUAUACAUGUGUCUUUAGAUUCUCACGAGCCCACUGGAUUAACAGGGGGUUCAAUGAUUUUAUUAAGUUUCCUUUAAGAUUACAGGCUCCCCUGGUGUCUCCAGUCCAGCCAGAAAUACAGCUUGAAGAUCUAUACUCCCCCUGGAAGCCCCAGUGUAUGGAACGUGCAGAACAGAACAGGACGCACUCAAACAAGACGAAUGGGAACAGACUGCGAUGGUUUCAUUUACAGAAAAAAUGACUCCUUACCCCAGAAAAAAGCUUGAAAGUCAUGGCCACUAGAUGUCUUGGUUCUCGAUCUGCUGUCCACCGCCUGUUGUUAGGGGAAUUUCAUCUCUAGAAGCUGAGAGACCAAGAAGGAAUACAGAAAGUGGUAGAAAGAGCCUGGGCUGAGUGCAUACAACCUGAAUCUGUCAGCCUUCUCCAGAGCAUCCAUGUUGUGCCUGAAAGGCUACAAUGAAGCGAUGUCCGGAAUGCCCGAAAAGGAGCGUACGUCACCUUAAUUCACAGCAUGUACAUCAAUAGUCCAAAUGAAGAAGAGCACAGUAACCCUCUCCCCGGCUGAUAACAGGGAGCAGUAGAUUGUAUUUACAGGUACAGCCAAUGGAGUAAAGAGGCUAAAGUAGUGUUUCCC